CCUGGCUCAGGACGAACGCUGGCGGCGUGCUUAACACAUGCAAGUCGAGCGGUAAGGCUCUUUCGGGAGUACACGAGCGGCGAACGGGUGAGUAACACGUGAGCCAUCUGCCCUUCACUUUGGGAUAACCUCCGGAAACGGUGGCUAAUACCGAAUAUGACCACUUCACGCAUGUGAUGGUGGUGGAAAGUUCUGGCGGUGGAGGAUGAGCUCGCGGCCUAUCAGCUUGUUGGUGAGGUAAUGGCUCACCAAGGCUUCGACGGGUAGCCGGCCUGAGAGGGUGACCGGCCACACUGGGACUGAGACACGGCCCAGACUCCUACGGGAGGCAGCAGUGGGGAAUAUUGGACAAUGGGCGAAAGCCUGAUCCAGCAACGCCGCGUGAGGGAUGACGGCCUUCGGGUUGUAAACCUCUUUCAGCGGGGACGAAGCGUAAGUGACGGUACCCGCAGAAGAAGGACCGGCCAACUACGUGCCAGCAGCCGCGGUAAUACGUAGGGUCCGAGCGUUGUCCGGAAUUAUUGGGCGUAAAGGGCUUGUAGGCGGUUUGUUACGUCGGAAGUGAAAACUCAGGGCUCAACCCUGAGCCGGCUUCCGAUACGGGCAAACUAGAGGAAUGCAGGGGAGAAUGGAAUUCCUGGUGGAGCGGUGGAAUGCGCAGAUAUCAGGAGGAACACCGGUGGCGAAGGCGGUUCUCUGGGCAUUUCCUGACGCUGAGAAGCGAAAGCGUGGGGAGCAAACAGGCUUAGAUACCCUGGUAGUCCACGCCGUAAACGGUGGGCACUAGGUGUGGGGAACAUUCCACGUUCUCCGUGCCGAAGCUAACGCAUUAAGUGCCCCGCCUGGGGAGUACGGCCGCAAGGCUAAAACUCAAAUGAAUUGACGG
rnacentral:rRNA from 1 species